UCACCACCGACGAAGCUUUCGGGUGACGGUAGGUGGGGAAGAAGCGCCGGCUAACUACGUGCCAGCAGCCGCGGUAAUACGUAGGGCGCGAGCGUUGUCCGGAAUUAUUGGGCGUAAAGAGCUCGUAGGCGGUUUGUCGCGUCUGUCGUGAAAGCCCAUGGCUUAACUGUGGGUCUGCGGUGGAUACGGGCAGACUUGAGGUAGGUAGGGGAGCAUGGAAUUCCCGGUGUAGCGGUGAAAUGCGCAGAUAUCGGGAGGAACACCGGUGGCGAAGGCGGUGCUCUGGGCCUUGCCUGACGCUGAGGAGCGAAAGCGUGGGGAGCGAACAGGAUUAGAUACCCUGGUAGUCCACGCUGUAAACGUUGGGCGCUAGGUGUGGGGUUCUCUACGGACUCCGUGCCGCAGCUAACGCGUUAAGCGCCCCGCCUGGGGAGUACGGCCGCAAGGCUAAAACUCAAAGGAAUUGACGGGGGCCCGCACAAGCGGCGGAGCAUGUUGCUUAAUUCGACGCAACGCGAAGAACCUUACCAAGGCUUGACAUCGCCGGAAAUCCCGUAGAGAUGCGGGGUCCUUUUGGGGCCGGUGACAGGUGGUGCAUGGCUGUCGUCAGCUCGUGUCGU
rnacentral:rRNA from 1 species